rnacentral:rRNA from 1 species
UAGCAUAGGGGUGCAAACGGUUUGCUCGGAAUUAUUGGGCGUAAAGCGCACGUAAGGCCGGUUCGUUAAGUCGGAUGUGAAAGCCCUCGGCUCAACUGAGGAAGUGCACCCGAAACUGGCGAGCUUGAGUACGAAAGAGGAUCGCGGAAAUUCCCGGUGUAGAGGUGGAAAUUCGUAGAUAGUCGGGAGGAACACCGGGUGGCGAAGGCGGCGAUCUGGGUCGAUACUGAACGCGUGAGGUG